CAGUCGCCGCGGUAAUACAGAGGGUGCGAGCGUUAAUCGGAUUUACUGGGCGUAAAGCGUGCGUAGGCGGCUUCUUAAGUCGGAUGUGAAAUCCCUGAGCUUAACUUAGGAAUUGCAUUCGAUACUGGGAAGCUAGAGUAUGGGAGAGGAUGGUAGAAUUCCAGGUGUAGCGGUGAAAUGCGUAGAGAUCUGGAGGAAUACCGAUGGCGAAGGCAGCCAUCUGGCCUAAUACUGACGCUGAGGUACGAAAGCAUGGGGAGCAAACAGGAUUAGAGACCCCCGUAGUCCCUGUCUAUUAUAC
rnacentral:rRNA from 1 species